UUAUCGUUUUCCUGUUCUUCACUGAGACACAUUCUACAGAAGAGGAAACUUGUAACGACCCGCUUCCGAAGUAUUUUUAAUUUAGAAGAAAAGAAAUCGCGAGAGGUUUAUGAACCAACCCAGUUUAAAAAUUGGUUUAGUUUUACCUCAUUUUAUUGAAAUGAACCGGUUUGAUAGUUUUAUUAUUAUUAAACCAAAGCUUCCUCAAUCAUUUUAACCGUGUACGUGUGCGUUUAUACCUAAUUAUAUAAAAACCUAAACAUUGUCCUCUUCCUUUGGAGCCGUCAACAUCGUGGGGGAAAGAGAGACAGCUCAGCCAAAUUUUAUUUUUCCUCCCCAUUAACCUCUCCACCGUUCACCCACCACCUUCUCCUUCUCUCUGUAUUUUCCUUAUGUUCAUGUCAUCACCGGAGAUCAAGCCGUGUCCCGCCAUCAUAGUCAUCAUUCUUCACAUAUCAGCACCAUUCGUUGCUGGAUUUAUCAUAGCCCACCGGAGCUGAGAUCGUGUUUAUUAGAGGAAUAAUAUCUAGGCUAUACAACUGAUAGUUAUUUUAUCCUCUAAUAGUGUUGACGGUCCAUCAACGAAACCUUUGUGGACGUUAUGAACCGGGUCCUAGUGAUGGGCAUUAGCAAAGCCAAAACUAAGGCGAAACCAGAGCCGUCGCGUCGUGACACCACCACCACCACCGAUCCAAACCGCAGUGAACCCAAAGUCACCGGAAGUGCAUCCCAUUUCACCGGAGACGCAGCCUUAUGAGAUUAAUCGUUAUAUUGGACGCCAUUAACAUUGUCUCUUUGUGGGUACAUAUUAAAUCCAUACAAAGAAGAACGAAACAAUCUUUUCAUGUCAUGAAAAUCUAGUAGUGUUAAAUGAGGCAUAUCCAUUUCCGAGAUUUUCCUGACUCAUUUCCAAAUUAGAUAAAGGUAAGGUUGAUUUUGUGGACCGGAGCGUGAGGCUAUGAAGACCAUCGAAAAAGAAUGUUUUGAAUUUGGGUAAUGUUUGGGAGUUUAUAAAGAUAUUUUUCUUGUAGACUAAAAAAUGUUCACUAUUUAGUCUCGUAUUUUAUCUAUAAAGUGGUAGUAUUUCUUCGUUUUA